rnacentral:rRNA from 1 species
UACGGAGGAUCCAAGCGUUUAUCCGGAAUCAUUGGGUUUAAAGGGUCCGUAGGCGGUUUUAUAAGUCAGUGGUGAAUCCGGCAGCUCAACUGUCGAACUGCCAUUGAUACUGUAGGACUUGAAUUAUUGUGAAGUAACUAGAAUAUGUAGUGUAGCGGUGAAAUGCUUAGAUAUUACAUGGAAUACCCAUUGCGAAGGCAGGUUACUAACAAUACAUUGACGCUGAUGGACGAAAGCGUGGGGAGCGAACAGG